rnacentral:lncRNA from 1 species
UUUUUUUUUUUUUUUUUUUGGUUUUUGGUUUUUGGUUUUUUGAGACAAGGUUUCUCUGUGUAGUCCUGGCAGUCCUGGAACUCACUUUGUAGACCAGGCUGGCCUCAAACUCAGAAAUCUGCCUGCCUCUGCCUCCCAAGUGCUGGGAUCAAAGGUGUGCGCCACCACUGCCCAGCCUGAGUGCUUUUCUUAAAGGAGGCAAACAUGAUUGUUUUCUAAAGGGAAAAAGGAAAGAAAAGGAUCAGCUGGUUGAUAUAUAACAAGAGUGAAAGGUAGACUGCACUGGAAUUGGACUAGGGAAAGCCUGAGGUGCAUGCACACACACACACACACACACACACACACACACUGCUCCUGCCAUUCUCUAUGGCCUAACAGCCACUGAAGCUGUGAAAUACUUGAGACCAGUAACCUUUUGGGAAAGGGCAGACUUGCUCUGCAUCCUGUCUUGAAGUGGCAGUGCUGAGCCAGCUUGCCAGUGUUAGAAAGCUCUGGAAUGGAGAAAAACAAAGUGAGAGAAAAUGCCCAGGCUUCACUGAGCUCUGGAGUGGGGGAGACAGAGGAGGAGACCCUGCCACUGAGAGGCUGUGGGUUGAAGACCUGUGUGAGUCUCCAUGGAUGCCCCAGGACCUCUCACACUUGGGAAGCAUCCUGGCCACUCCACAGUGCCACUCAGUACAGCAUGAAAACUGCUAUUAAACACUCCAUGUAAGUCCAGGAGCAAAAUGUUGAAGAACAACUGUCAAAGGUCUGAGGUAGUUGGCUUUCCUCCUGACAUGAAGAGUCAGAAGGGCAAAGGAGUUCUCCUUCCACACACACAUGCUGUAAUUUCCAUAUUGGAAAGCUUUUCAUGUCUAGCGGGAAGUCAUCUGGUUACAACCCAGACAACAGUAAAGGUAUCCAGUGGUGUCCUCUGUUCCUCGGUUGUCACCCUAUCUCUGGUUGCUUUAUCAGAUAGUCACAAAACGCUUGGGCAGGGGUUUAUCCAGCUCAGGCCAUUAGAGUCCUCAACUGCACAGCCAAGCCUCAUUAUCUAGAUUCUAUACUUGUUAUUCUCCUACUUAAAUUCAUUGGUAACUUCCAAAUCAAUGCUGUGCUUCUGUGAAUAUUUGUGGACUUGCUCAGGACUCUGAAAACCUCAAGUCACCAGACAUACUGGUUCCCAGCUGAGAUCAAACAGUAGCCAACACAUCUGCAUCCUUAAGGAAGGGCUUUCUCCUGAUUCCAGGAGGCCUCUGGGCUCUUCUGGGGCUCCACAGCCUCUAAAGUGAAGUCUAUAAUGGAGAUGUCUUCCCAGCCUGGGGUCACUUAGUCAGUACUACUCAAUUCUAAAAUGAAGAAACACUAGGCUAUAUCAAAACAACAAUUGUCCCCACAUCAUUGUGAGCAGAUUUAGAGACAGCUGGACUCCAGGAGAACCUAGUCUACAUAGAGGGACACCCAGCCCCAGACUACAAGCUUAACCACAUAGCUUAUUUCCCAGUGAAAUUACCUUCCCAAUGAAAGUGGGUUAGCAGGAGGUCUCUGCUUCCGAUCUGUUAUAGAAUGUCUGCUGCCUUCUGUCAGACAGUUGAAAGGGAAGUUGGGUACCACACUAGCCACAAGAAGGAAGAACUAGGCCACAGUACACAGUAGUUUGAGACAGGAUUUGAACAAGCAGACCUGGUGGGAAGCCUGGUCUGCUGCUAGCAGCAAGUCAGGAAAACGAUCCAAGUUUCACUUUGCUUUUCCAUAAAGGAGCUAAAUGUACUCUCUGCUUAGCACGAUACUGUGUGAUGUCCCUAAAGUCCUAGCUCAGUGGUUCUCCACCUUCCUAAUGCUUUGACCCAGUUCCUCAUGUUGUGAUGACCCCCAACCACACAAUUAUUCCCAUUGCUACUCCAUAACUGUAAUUUUGCUACUGUUAUGAAUCAUAAUGAUAUCUGAUAUUUCCGAUGGUUUAGGUGAUCCCAAAGGGGUCUCACCCCACAAACUGAGAACCAUUGUCUUAGAUGCCUACAGUAAGGCAGUAAUAGCCAUUAACAAGAAAGCCCAGGACACAGGUUUUGAAACAAGGGGAACCAGAACUGUGCCCACCACUAAACCACGUGACUGACUACUCCUGGGUCUCAGCUUCCUCAUCUGUAAAAAGCAAAUGAAAACGCCAGCUUUCACUGAGUUCUGGAAGGAUAAAACAGGAUACUGCAUCCAACAUGUGCACACGUGCACACAUGCACACACGCGCGCGCGCACACACACACACACACACACACACACACACACACGUAGCACAGUCAGUAAGUGGUGCUGGUGGUAACUGAAAUGCUAAUACUAACUUAGAUGCUUGUUCUGGCUGCAGAGAAUCACAGUAGCACCAAACCAUCAACCCAGGACAGCAGAGGGUAGGGGAGGCUGCAACUGUUUUGGUGAAAGUGAAGGUUCUAGAAAUAACAGUUAGGAUUGCCUCAGCUCCUCCUGAGGGUCAUGACAGGGACAGAGCUCCAGGGACCACAGUGAAUACGUUGACAUGACUUGGCAGGAUAAUGUAGAAAAUGAGAAAGGCAGGGACAGAAAUGACCAAGAAACCAUGAAAAGAUGCAUUUGCCUUAUAAAAAAGCCACAAAUGCUUUCUGCACAUUUGUAUCGUUCUUUUUUAAAUUACUAUUUUAUCCCUCCUCCUCUUCCUCUUCCUCUUCCUCCUCCUCCUCCUCCUCUUCCUCCUCCUUCUCCUCCUUCUCCUCCUUCUCCCGACUUUGAGAUAGGCUGGCCUGGAACACACAGGUUUGCCUGCUUCUGCUUUCUGAGUGCUGGGGUUAAAGGUGUGAGCUAUCAAGUCUUUUUUAUUUAUUAUUAUUUAGUGUGCAUCUGUACAUGAAUCACAUGUGAGUUCCUCAAUCCGUGUGUGUCAGAGGACAACUCUGUGGAGUUGGUUCUCUCCGUCCACGCCUACAUGGGUCCCAGGGUUUGAACUCAGGUCAGGAUAUAGCAAAUGCCUGUACCCACUGAGCUGUCUCACCGGCCCUACUCAUGUCGUUCUAAACACUGCUAAUCUCUUUUGCUCUUAUAACAUGUCUUACUUCUGAUUUUUAAAUUUAUUUCUUGAUUUAUGUAUUUACUUAUUUAGUUAUGUGUGGGUGUGCACAUGCAUGUGCCCUUGCAAUGCAUCCAGACAUCAAUGUCAGGACAACGACCAGGACUCAGUUCUCUUCCUCUACCACGUGGGUCCCAGGAACCAAACUCAGAUCAUCAGAAUUGGCAGCAGGUGCCUCCCCCUGCUGAGCCAUCUGUCUGGCCCAUUUAUUUUUCUCUUUUGUUUUCUUAAGUAUGUUAUUUUAGUUGGGGUUUCUACUGCUGUGAAGAGACACCACAACCACAACAACUCUUAUAAAGGAAAACAUUUCAUUAGGGCUGGCUUACAGUUUUAGAGGCUUAGUCCAUCGUUGUCGUGGUGGGAACAUGGUGACAUGGUGCUGGAGAAGUUGAGUCCUACAUUUGGAUCUUCGGGGAGCAGAAGGAGACUCUGCCUGGCCGACCAGACUUGAGCUUAAAGACCUCAGAUCCUGCCUCCACAGCAAUGCACUUCCUCGAGGCCACACCUCCUAACAGCGCCAUUCCCUAUGGGCCAGGCAUUGAAACAUGUAUCGUGAGGGCCCUUCCUAUUCAGCACCACAGAUAUCAAUCAGCCUGCAUUCAUGCUCAUUAUGAGGCAAGCUUGUCAUGUCCUUUCCUGAUACACCAGCUUCACUAACUGGUUACGGGCCCUUCUUCCAUUCUCUGAGAUUGUAUAAGAUCAAAACUAAUGCUCCUUAAAUAGCUCCUGUUAGUGCUUUUUUCUAAAGGAAAUAUUUCAUCUACAGAUGUAACUGCUUUGAUAAUCAUAGGAUAGUAUGACAUUAUUCUUUCUUUGUAAAUCAGUGCUUAUUGUUAUUUUUCUAGGAAUUUGUGGUAACUUCCUAUGAAAUUUUUGCUUUUGCUAAAAAGAAAAAAUCUAUCUUGUUAGAUGUAGGUACGUAAACAUUUUGCGUGUUUAUAUAAAAUAUACUUAUUCUUUCACUUUUAACAUUCCUGUGCUCUGAUACCUUAAAAUCAUCUAAAACUCUAAAAAGUAUUCAAUCUUGGAGAUGGAGAGAUGAUUUACCAUCUGACCGCCCUAGCAGAGGACUGGCGUUCGAUUCCCAGCACUGGUAUGGGUGUGGUGGAUCUCAACUGUCCGUAGCUCGAGUCCCGAGGGAUCAGUGCCAUCUUCCAGCCUCAGGCAGGCACAUUAGUGAAUACAGUGAUACACUGCAGCCAGAACAUCGAAACACAUUAAAAUAAAUAGAUUUUUUAAAAUGUUAAUUCAAUCUCUAGCCAGCUUUGGCGAGUAAGAAUCUUAAAUCUUAGGACUCAGAGGAGGAGGGAGGCAGGGGAAUCAGGAAGAUCUGGAGGUCAAGCCUUGUCCACAAAGUGAGUUCAAGUCCAGCCUGCAGUAUGAGAGCAGUUUCCCAAAAAGAAGAAAAAUGCACUCCAAUUUUUCUUUAUUAUUUACGUAAUUUUAAACAUUUAUUUGUUUAUUGUGUAUACAUGUGUGAGGGCAAUAAGGGAUGGACAGGGUAAUAUGCUUAACAUACAAUAUAUGCCAG